GUAGUCAUAUGCUUGUCUCAAAGAUUAAGCCAUGCAUGUCUCAGUACAAGCCAAAUUAAGGUGAAACCGCGAAAGGCUCAUUAAAUCAGUUAUGGUUCCUUAGAUCGUACCCACAUUUACUUGGAUAACUGUGGUAAUUCUAGAGCUAAUACAUGCAAACAGAUCCCUGACCGGAGACGGAAAGGGUGCUUUUAUUAGAUCAAAACCAAUCGGCGGCAGACGUUUCGGCGUUCUGUUCGUCGCCCUGUUUGGUGAUUCUGAAUAACUUUUAGCUGAUCGCACGGUCUCGCACCGGCGACGCAUCUUUCAAAUGUCUGCCUUAUCAACUGUCGAUGGUAGGUUCUGCGCCUACCAUGGUUGUAACGGGUAACGGGGAAUCAGGGUUCGAUUCCGGAGAGGGAGCCUGAGAAACGGCUACCACAUCCAAGGAAGGCAGCAGGCGCGCAAAUUACCCACUCCCGGCACGGGGAGGUAGUGACGAUAAAUAACGAUACGGGACUCAUCCGAGGCCCCGUAAUCGGAAUGAGAACACUUUAAAUCCUUUAACGAUUAACAAUUGGAGGGUAAGUCUGGUGCCAGCAGCCGCGGUAACUCCAGCUCCAAUA
rnacentral:rRNA from 1 species